rnacentral:misc_RNA from 1 species
GAAAUGCGAUAAGUAAUGUGAAUUGCAGAAUUCAGUGAAUCAUCGAAUCUUUGAACGCACAUUGCGCCCGGCAGUAUUCUGCCGGGCAUGCCUGUUCGAGCGUCAUUUCAACCCUCAAGCCCUGCUUGGUGUUGGGGCCCUACGGCUGCCGUAGGCCCUGAAAGGAAGUGGCGGGCUCGCUACAACUCCGAGCGUAGUAAUUCAUUAUCUCGCUAGGGACGUUGCGGCGCGCUCCUGCCGUUAAAGACCCCAUCUUUAACCAAGGUUGACCUCGGAUCAGGUAGGAAUACCCGCUGAACUUAA